AGCGUCUGGACCGACGGCGGGCACGGGCGCGGGACACAGUAUCCUGCCUACGCCAGAGUCGACGGCGCACGCGGCAGACGCGCCCACGCUCGUGAUGGCGACCGGGGUCUCGCCGCCAUGGAGCCAGCCGUCGACACCAUUUGGCGGCGCGACCGUGUUGGUGAGCACCAACGAUGCCUCGACCGGGUCGUCGUAGGGACCGCAAUUGAUCAGGGUGGCGCCACCGCGCGGGUUGUUCACGGCGCACUUUUGCACCGGGUCGGGAACCUCACACAGCGGCCGCCUGACGGAAAAGGCCACCGAGAUGUUGUGCGAUGGCGACAGCGGGACGCGCCCGCACAUCUGGCGCGGAUAGGGCGCGCCCAUGAUGAAGCGCGACGCCUGCGACAACAGCGGCUUGGCAACAUUGCACUUGAUGCUCUCCCAGUCAUAGGUCGCCUGCGGGUCGUAGCCCUGCCAGUAGCAAAAGGACUGGUAGUGCACCGAGUAGAUGGCAAACAGGUCACCGACUGAGAGGAUGGGCGAGUCUGUCGGCUGGUAGGCCGCCGAGACCGACGCCGCGCACACUAGUGCCAUCAGCACGCUGGUUACAAGGACGGCGGGACGCAUUACGCUGGAUGGGUAGGUGGUGGUCAUUCGGAUCAACGCCGAGGGUGGCGGCUGCAGAGGUGGCGUGUGACUGUCGCUGCACAAUCUAUCAGUAGGCAAAAAUAGAAUGGUCUUUUUUUAGCA
rnacentral:lncRNA from 1 species